AUGUGUUAUCCAUGCCCUAUAUGUGGGAAUACGAAGUCUUACUCUGACCGGAAAAUCCUCCACACCCACCUGCUUUACAAGGGUUUCAUGUCACACUAUAAUGCUUGGACGAGGCACGGAGAAAUAGGGGUUAUGAUGGAAGACGGCGAAGAAGAAGAGUACGAUGACAACUAUGUGCCCCCUGGAUACGGUGAUGCUACUGAAGAUCAAGAGGAACCAGACGAUGUGCAUGAUGAUGCUGCAACGGGCGAAGCUACUGAAUAUCAAGUGGAACCAGACGAUGUGCCCGAUGAUGAUGAUCUCCGCCGGGUCAUUGUCGAUGCAAGGACGCAAUGCGAAAGUCAAAAGGAGAAGCUGAAGUUCGAUCGCAUGUUAGAGGACCACAAAAAAGGGUUGUACCCCAAUUGCGAAGAUGGCAACACAAAGCUCGAUACCGUACUGGAAUUGCUGUAG
rnacentral:rRNA from 1 species